rnacentral:rRNA from 1 species
GACAGAGGUGCCAAGCGUUAGGCGGAAUCACUGGGCUUAAAGCGUGUGUAGGCGGAUCGUUAAGUACCUUGUGAAAUCCCACGGCUCACCCGUGGAACUGCUCGGUAUACUGGGUGUCUUGAGCCACUUAGGGGCUACCGGAACAAAUGGUGGAGCGGUGAAAAUGCGUAGAUAUCAUUUGGAACGCCAAUGGUGAAAACAGGUAGCUGGGAGUGUGCUGACGCUGAGACACGAAAGCCAGGGAGCAAACGGG